rnacentral:rRNA from 1 species
GUCCACGCCGUAAACGAUGAUGACUAGGUCUUGAAGAGUAAUUUUCAGGGCCUGAGCGAAAGCGUUAAGUCAUCCACCUGGGGAGUACGUUCGCAAGUAUGAAACUCAAAGGAAUUGACGGGGGCCCGCACAAGCGGAGGAACAUGUGGUUUAAUUCGAUGAUACGCGAGGAACCUUACCCGGGUUUAAAUGUUGGUUGCAUAGAGCAGAGAUGUUCUUUUCUAGCAAUAGACUACCAACAAGGUGCUGCAUGGUUGUCGU